GGCUGUAGCUUACAGGUAGAGCACCUGCCUCUCAUGCAUGGCACCCUGGGUUCCAGUCCCAGCACUGCCA
rnacentral:tRNA from 1 species